rnacentral:snoRNA from 1 species
UCACACUAUUGUGUGAGCUGUACAGAUGUGCCUUCCUCUAAACCUAGUUAUGUUGUCAACACAUGACCCAUCUGAC